UGGGUUGUGGCUCAGUGGUGGAGUGCUCACCUAGUAUGUGUGAGGCCCUAGGUUUGAAUCCUCAGCACCACAU
rnacentral:tRNA from 1 species